rnacentral:rRNA from 1 species
CGGGGGGCAGCAGUGAGGAAUAUUGGUCAAUGGACGCAAGUCUGAACCAGCCAUGCCGCGUGAAGGAUGAAGGCCUUCUGGGUUGUAAACUUCUUUUAUCUGGGAAGAAAAGCAUUGUUUCUACGAUGUCCGACGGUACCAGAGGAAUAAGCACCGGCUAACUCCGUGCCAGCAGCCGCGGUAAUACGGAGGGUGCAAGCGUUAUCCGGAUUUACUGGGUUUAAAGGGUGUGUAGGCGGGUCUUUAAGUCAGUGGUGAAAUCUCCGAGCUCAACUUGGAAACUGCCAUUGAUACUAUUGAUCUUGAAUUCUGUUGAGGUUGGCGGAAUAUGUCAUGUAGCGGUGAAAUGCAUAGAUAUGACAUAGAACUCCGAUUGCGAAGGCAGCUAACUAAGCAGAUAUUGACGCUGAGGCACGAAAGCGUGGGGAUCAAACAGGAUUAGAUACCCUAGU